rnacentral:tRNA from 1 species
AUCCAGAUAGUUUAGACAAAACAUCGGUCUUGUAAGCCGAAGCCGAAGACUAGCCCCCUUCUCCGGGUA